GGUCUAUUAGUCUAGUUGGUGAGGACGUCGGAUUCUGAUUCAUUCUGUGACUCUUCCGUAGGCCCAGGUUCGAAUCCUGGAUGGACCU
rnacentral:tRNA from 1 species